AAAGCAGGAGGAGAGCGUUCUCCGGAGUUACUGGGCGUAAAGAGCGCGCAGGCGGCUGGGUAAGUGGCUUGUGAAAGCCUCCGGCUAAACGGGGGGAGGACAGGUCAGACUGCCGAGCUAGAGGAUGGUAGAGGAGCGCAGAAUUCCGGGUGUAGAGGUGAAAUGUGUAGAGAUCCGGAGGAAUACCAGUGGUGAAGACGGCGCUCUGGGCCAUUACUGACGCUGAGGCGAGAAAGCGUGGGGAGCGAACGGG
rnacentral:rRNA from 1 species